rnacentral:tRNA from 1 species
AGUUUUAUAGUCUAAAAAAGAUUUAAAAUUGCAAAUUUUAAGUUAUAGUUAUUUAUUAAGACUU